AACAUACUCCCUCCGUUCCAAAAUACUUGACCCCCACUUGUCUAGAUAUGGAUGUAUCUAUACUUGUUUAAUGUCUAGAUACAUCCAUAUCUAGACAAAUGGGGAUAAAGUAAUUUGUAUCGGAGGGAGUACAUA
rfam:Triticum aestivum genome assembly, contig: Triticum_aestivum_CS42_TGACv1_scaffold_592271_7BS